GUUUGAUUUGGUUUUCAGGUUCUUAGCAUACAACAGUUAUACAGAAUCAGUACUAUGUACUGGGAUGACAAGUAUGGCACGCAGAGUGUUACAUCAGAGAUCAUUUCAAGUAUGAGACUUGUGAUGGCCGAGGGCUCAAAUAAUUCUUCCAAUAAUUCUUUCUUGUUAGAUGAUGAUUCCAGCAUUCCAUUUUUGGUCGAUGAUAUCUCAAAGUCAAUGACAGAAAUAGAUAUAGCAGAUAUCGAUCCACCACCUUUCCUUUGUCAG